UCUAACUCUGAGAGAGUGGAAAUCUAAUCUAAUCUAAUUCCACUUUAUAUAUUUAUGUAUGACUCCAGUGAUCACAUUAUAAAAAACUGUAUCCUUAUAGGGCUAAGGGAAAACAAAUAUACAGGGAGACCAGCAAAGUAAUCACUUUUUAAGUUUUAUUCAUUACGCUGCAGUUUAACUACAGCAUAAGUACAAGCAUUAAACUGUUGACUAAAACAGCACUUAGAGCAACAUUUUUUUUUCUUUUACUGUAAAAGCAUUGCAAUAACAAACCUUUGACCAAAACCCUAUUACAUCACAAUUGCUUAAAUAAAAAGAGGCAAAAGCACAACUUUAUUUAUGGGGCUAAGCACAGAGGGAGAUGGGGAGAAUGAGAAUAAUAAAUCUUUGCAAAUAAAGCAAACUGAUGUUACAAAACCAAUGAUGGAAGCAGUCCUAUGGUAACUGUUAAGACAGUGAUACCAAAAGGUUGAGAUGCUAUCUUUGCUGUUAUAAUUGUUAUUGUUUCCUAAAACAGUGAAAACAGCUCAUAGUCAGCAUUUCAGUAAAGACUUCUCAGCAGCAGAAAGUGGGAGCACACUUCAGUGGCAGAAUUUAAAUAAUUAUCAGUCAGAGCUAUUUCUUCAGGCUAUUGGAGGAAGAAGACCCAAGCUCUUACCAAAGUAACUGCCCCUUAUUUGUUGCUUUGAAGAGGAAAUGGUGUGUUUCCAUGUAUGUUUUGUUGUGAUUCUCCAUGUCGACAUGUUGACUGAUUUGGGGAUAUGGAGAGAAAUAAAUUAUAUUUUCAUGGGACUGCAGCAUUGGUCUUGUGUAGUGUUUGGUGAAUUUAUUGUAUAUUUGCACUUUCUCUGUGUACUUCACUUAUAGAACUCUAAUCACUGAGAACUGGAAUUGCUAAAAGUGUUUAAAGUUAGCAGCAGCAGUGUGUAACUGGCUCAAACUGAAUUAAGUCAUUUGAAGCUUGUGUUUUUCAUAUGGCAAAAAAAUAUGGUUUUGACAAGAGUGUCUCGUUUUGCAAAGGAUCUGAGGUGUUCUGCUGAUUGGGUGUGUGGUUGUGCUGAUUGUGUUUAGUGUUUGAAACACAGGCCCUGUUUUGAAAAUCGUGCUUAAGCAAUCGAAAAAAACUGUAACAGGCUAUUUGACUGAGACAGGUCCGCAUCGUCUACGUUAAGAUGCCAAACGUGUCUCCUCUUAAAAUGCUUGUGUCCUGCUUCCAUGGAAAGCAAGGCUCGCCUUACAAAUAUAGCAGGUAGUUUUUUUUCGGGCUAUGUUAAGGGUGAAAAACUCCCAUACUUUUGACUUUCUGGUACCCGAUGGUGUUGCAACGGACACCGCCAUCGGUCUAUGUCUUGUCGCUAUUGCACAUGCGCGACUUUCAGAGAUGGGAAGGGAGCUAGAGGGCUUACUCCUCAGCUACUUCCAUCAGCACCUCCGGUAAAACAACGUUUAGUACAGCUGCACGGCACGAAAAACGCGUGCAGUAACCAAUGAAUCAUCGACUUUUAAAUACGUUGGCGACUAUUUUUGUCGUUGAUCGCACCCAUAAAGUGUAGUGAGACAGGUAAUGUAGUAGUUCUCAAGUCUUACACAUAGCUUUAAAAACGAUUUUACACAACACUAAUUAACACCAGGUUACACGCUAACUUCAGCUCCAAUUCAUUACUCUUCUUAAAUAUAAUGCAGACAUUUAUACAACUGGCUUUUAACAUUACUUUACAUUGUACAUAUAUAUAUAUGAUAAAUGGUAAGUAUUUAUAAAGAUGAUAUAAAGGAUUUGUUUCACAGUACAGUUUAUUGCCAUUCACACGCAUUCAUACAGAACAUCUAUGGGCAGCACUUUUAGCAUCUAGGGUUCAGUGUCUUGCCCAAGGACAGGAGGCAUGCAAAAGUGGAAGACUGGGAAUCAAACCGCUGACCUUCUAGGUGCCACUGGUGCCCCAUAAAAGUUGAAUCAAAACUUUCAUAUUUAGAUUAUAACGUGUGUGUGUGUGUGUGUGUGUAUGUGAGAGUGUGUGAGUGUGUGGUUGUGUGUGGCUUUAAUCCAGAGAUUGCACUGCAGCAAUAAUUUACUGCCACAUGUGAAUUGCAAAUAAACUCUUCCAGUUGGUGAUUGGAAACUCUUGGGGCCUGAUCUAUUAAAGGUUUGCAUGUGUAAAAAACGUGCGCAAACUUGAUUUCAGCCGCAAAAAAACAUGGAAAAAUAUCUACUAAUGCGCACUGAGGAUUGCUUGCAGAAUAACACGCACUGUCCAUUUAGUACGUUUGCCUUAAUGAAUAUGAAUGAUAGGGCAUUUCUACCCGAGUGCGCAAAAUAUUGGGAGGAGUAGCUGCAAAUACUUUCAUUUAGCACACGCACUGUGAUUUACAAAGCCUGAAAAUAAUUUUUGUGAUUAUGACUGCAUCCAUAUAUAAUACGUUUGAAAUGUAGGUGCUAAUCGGCACAGCGAUGCGCACCAAUAGCUGCAGUUAUUGUGGUGAGGAAGAGACGUCAUGGAAGAACACCGAGAGAAGUUUUUUUUUUUCAGAAUGUGAACUGCACCUGCUGCUCAAUUUUGGUCAGAGGCAUCUCUUAUAACCGAUACAAAGACCAGGAGUGAGACAGACACUAUUCGGCUCUGCUGACGGACCUACUGCGUGGUUACAAAUAUCUUUGUUCUACACUCCGCGCUAACCCUUCAGGGCGCUUGGAUAGAACACGUUGGAGAGACCCCCAUAUUUUAGAGUUACCUUUUAAACCCAGUUAUAUUGUGUUUAGAUAGUUUUGUAUGUGUUAUUUUGUUGUUUGUUUGUUUGUUUGUUUAACUUGUUUUAAACCAUUGACUUGUUGUAACUUUCUUUUUAUUGUGGACAGGUGCUGUGGCCGAGGGCGGCUAACCAAUUCCUGGUGGUGGGAGGAAGGCCGAUACAUAGUCGAGUUUUACGCACGCACGCAUGCAUGCACGCAAGACACGCAACACGCCCCUCGCGUGCCCUCUUGCGGCUUGCGUGCUUCCGCCAAAUUUUUCUAACAAUAUACGACCCAGCGACGCGAGCCUCACGCAGCCCGCAAGGCUUGUGAUUGGUCUUCUUACUACAUUCGUCCGGAGUCUAGUUUUCCGGUUUCAUGCCCCAUAACAUGCGGAAAUCACGGAAGAUUUAGAAGAACGAAUAUAGACCAAAUAGAUGAGCACUUGGCAGAAGAGAUCGAAAGUAUGACCACUUGUAUAACCCGUCACGGACUGGCCAAUUUGUCCGCUAGAAAUAGGCUAUGAGGAGCCGGAGUGGCGACGUAAAUAAACAGUCGACGAAGAGGAAGACGUCUCUUCUCCAUGCUGUGGAAAGAGGUAGGAAAGAGGCGUAAGCAAGAACCACGAAAAUGUAAUUUUUCAGUCACAAAAGUUAACAAGUCAUGGAUCAAUCCAUACCAGCCAUGCGAUUCCCCAUCUGUUGUAGCUCAAGAUUUUGCAGUGGGGGGGAUUCAGAACCGGAAGAGAUGGCCAACUAAGAGCUGCAACCCGGGCUAAGUGACGAUGAGGCCGUGGACGUUGAAGCGAAACCCCCACUGAAAGCUGCUUGUACCAUGACGUACUAAGACAUACUAUGAGCCAGUAUGAAGGAACCUCCCGUACAUCCAACCGGACCUUGCAGCAGCAUUGAGGAGUUCAGGAGUCACCGGAGAAGAAAGAGUGUAAGCUGAUUGAAGCGGAACAGAUGACAUGGAUCCAUCCUUCCACAGCCAGGAGCUCUCCGACCUGUGUGCCACACUUCAAAUAAGAGCAGAAGUUACACUGGAUCUCACAGCUACACACCACAGACGUCUAUGCACUGGAGAAGAUUCCGACAGAGUCCUACAAAGAACAUAUGACCCAGAGGCUGCAAGGAGACAUUUCAAGCUUCACCUGAGUUUUUCACUGGCUAGGCCAGUUUUGUUUGUACAAUAUUUGGGCUGUAUGUAAAUAAAGCUUUGACUCAACAUAUA